UUUUAUGGAGAGUUUGAUCCUGGCUCAGGAUGAACGCUGGCGGCGUGCCUAAUACAUGCAAGUCGAGCGAACGGACGAGAAGCUUGCUUCUCUGAUGUUAGCGGCGGACGGGGGAGUAACACGUGGAUAACCUACCUAUAAGACUGGGAUAACUUCGGGAAACCGGAGCUAAUACCGGAUAAUAUUUUGAACCGCAUGGUUCAAAAGUGAAAGACGGUCUUGCUGUCACUUAUAGAUGGAUCCGCGCUGCAUUAGCUAGUUGGUAAGGUAACGGCUUACCAAGGCAACGAUGCAUAGCCGACCUGAGAGGGUGAUCGGCCACACUGGAACUGAGACACGGUCCAGACUCCUACGGGAGGCAGCAGUAGGGAAUCUUCCGCAAUGGGCGAAAGCCUGACGGAGCAACGCCGCGUGAGUGAUGAAGGUCUUCGGAUCGUAAAACUCUGUUAUUAGGGAAGAACAUAUGUGUAAGUAACUGUGCACAUCUUGACGGUACCUAAUCAGAAAGCCAUGGCUAACUACGUGCCAGCAGCCGCGGUAAUACGUAGGUGGCAAGCGUUAUCCGGAAUUAUUGGGCGUAAAGCGCGCGUAGGCGGUUUUUUAAGUCUGAUGUGAAAGCCCACGGCUCAACCGUGGAGGGUCAUUGGAAACUGGAAAACUUGAGUGCAGAAGAGGAAAGUGGAAUUCCAUGUGUAGCGGUGAAAUGCGCAGAGAUAUGGAGGAACACCAGUGGCGAAGGCGACUUUCUGGUCUGUAACUGACGCUGAUGUGCGAAAGCGUGGGGAUCAAACAGGAUUAGAUACCCUGGUAGUCCACGCCGUAAACGAUGAGUGCUAAGUGUUAGGGGGUUUCCGCCCCUUAGUGCUGCAGCUAACGCAUUAAGCACUCCGCCUGGGGAGUACGACCGCAAGGUUGAAACUCAAAGGAAUUGACGGGGACCCGCACAAGCGGUGGAGCAUGUGGUUUAAUUCGAAGCAACGCGAAGAACCUUACCAAAUCUUGACAUCCUUUGACAACUCUAGAGAUA
rnacentral:rRNA from 1 species